rnacentral:rRNA from 1 species
GAUGAACGCUGGCGGCGUGCCUAAUACAUGCAAGUCGAGCGAACGGACGAGAAGCUUGCUUCUCUGAUGUUAGCGGCGGACGGGUGAGUAACACGUGGAUAACCUACCUAUAAGACUGGGAUAACUUCGGGAAACCGGAGCUAAUACCGGAUAAUAUUUUGAACCGCAUGGUUCAAAAGUGAAAGACGGUCUUGCUGUCACUUAUAGAUGGAUCCGCGCUGCAUUAGCUAGUUGGUAAGGUAACGGCUUACCAAGGCAACGAUGCAUAGCCGACCUGAGAGGCUGAUCGGCCACCCUGGAACUGAGACACGGUCCAGACUCCUACGGGAGGCAGCAGUCGGGAAUCUUCCGCAAUGGGCGAAAGCCUGACGGAGCCACGCCGCGUGAGUGAUGAAGGUCUUCGGAUCGUAAAACUCUGUUAUUAGGGAAGAACAGAUGUGUAAGUAACUGUGCACAUCUUGACGGUACCUAAUCAGAAAGCCACGGCUAACUACGUG